rnacentral:rRNA from 1 species
CAGCGGGUUACGAUUGACGGAGCGAAGCGACGUCAAAGCGUAUACAAAGUCGAGUCGGUUUAAGGAUACGUUCGUUGGGUAGGGGAGCGUUCUGUAAGCCUGUGAAGGUGGCCUGUGAGGGUUGCUGGAGGUAUCAGAAGUGCGAAUGCUGACAUAAGUAACGAUAAAGCGGGUGAAAAGCCCGCUCGCCGGAAGACCAAGGGUUCCUGUCCAACGUUAAUCGGGGCAGGGUGAGUCGACCCCUAAGGCGAGGCCGAAAGGCGUAGUCGAUGGGAAACGGGUUAAUAUUCCCGUACUUGGUGUUACUGCGAAGGGGGGACGGAGAAGGCUAUGUUGGCCGGGCGACGGUUGUCCCGGUUUAAGCGUGUAGGUGUGUGUUCCAGGUAAAUCCGGUUCACUUUAACACUGAGGCGUGAUGACGAGGCACUACGGUGCUGAAGCAACAAAUGCCCUGCUUCCAGGAAAAGCCUCUAAGCAUCAGGUAACAUCAAAUCGUACCCCAAACCGACACAGGUGGUCAGGUAGAGAAUACCAAGGCGCUUGAGAGAACUCGGGUGAAGGAACUAGGCAAAAUGGUGCCGUAACUUCGGGAGAAGGCACGCUGACAUGUAGGUGAAGUGAUUUACUCAUGGAGCUGAAGUCAGUCGAAGAUACCAGCUGGCUGCAACUGUUUAUUAAAAACACAGCACUGUGCAAACACGAAAGUGGACGUAUACGGUGUGACGCCUGCCCGGUGCCGGAAGGUUAAUUGAUGGGGUCAGCGCAAGCGAAGCUCCUGAUCGAAGCCCCGGUAAACGGCGGCCGUAACUAUAACGGUCCUAAGGUAGCGAAAUUCCUUGUCGGGUAAGUUCCGACCUGCACGAAUGGCGUAAUGAUGGCCAGGCUGUCUCCACCCGAGACUCAGUGAAAUUGAACUCGCUGUGAAGAUGCAGUGUACCCGCGGCAAGACGGAAAGACCCCGUGAACCUUUACUAUAGCUUGACACUGAACAUUGAGCCUUGAUGUGUAG